rnacentral:rRNA from 1 species
ACGGAAGGCAGCAGUGGGGAAUAUUGGGCAAUGGGCGAAAGCCUGACCCAGCAACGCCGCGUGAAGGAAGAAGGUUUUCGGAUUGUAAACUUCUUUUAUCAGGGACGAAGGAAGUGACGGUACCUGAUGAAUAAGCCACGGCUAACUACGUGCCAGCAGCCGCGGUAAUACGUAGGUGGCAAGCGUUAUCCGGAUUUACUGGGUGUAAAGGGCGCGUAGGCGGGGAUGCAAGUCAGAUGUGAAAUCCAUGUGCUUAACCCAUGAACUGCAUUUGAAACUGUAUUUCUUGAGUGUCGGAGAGGUAGACGGAAUUCCUAGUGUAGCGGUGAAAUGCGUAGAUAUUAGGAGGACCACCAGUGGCGAAGGCGGUCUACUGGACGAUAACUGACGCUGAGGCGCGAAAGCGUGGGGAGCAAACAGGAUUAGAUACCCUGGUA